rnacentral:misc_RNA from 1 species
UACGGAGGGUGCGAGCGUUAAUCGGAAUUACUGGGCGUAAAGGGUGCGUAGGUGGUUUAAUAAGUUAUCUGUGAAAUACCUGGGCUUAACCUAGGGAUGUCAGAUAAGACUGUAAGACUUGAGUAUGGGAGAGGGCAGUGGAAUUUCCGGUGUAGCGGUGAAAUGCGUAGAGAUCGGAAGGAACACCAGUGGCGAAGGCGUCUGCCUGGCCUAAUACUGACACUGAGGCACGAAAGCGUGGGGAGCAAACAGG